rnacentral:misc_RNA from 1 species
GCCCAUCCACGCUCGGGAGCUCAGCCCCCGACGCGGACCGUGGCCCUCCGAGCCCCUUCAUUCGGGGCGCGGUAGGGCCCAAGUGCGCGGCCGCCGGAAGGAGCCGGGAGCGGC